GACAAUCGUUGAUGUAUGAGGCUUGAUAAAUCAUUCUGGAUCGAGCAUGGUUGAUACGCUCGAAAGGAAAUGUUGUGUGUCCUAAAGACAAGCGUUAACACUCUUUAGAUGUGAUGUGGGAGACCAUCUAGUUGAAGU